GCCCAAGAGGUGUUGAACAUUUCUGAUGAGGAAUCAGGUACCUUCAACGUUAUGUGACUGCAGAGUGCACCCUGAAGCAGCUGAAACAAUAUUUGUAUGGACAGCACGAAAAACAUGAACAGCCACCAGCUACUUUUCUUUGUCUGGAAUAUCUCACAUAUCAAAAUGCCUCAUGAGAUAAACAGGAAGAAGAGUGAGAAAACAGUUUGAGCCACUGGGUAUCAGGCAGCAUGGUUGCUGUGCUAAUGAAAAUUUGGAACACCGUUGCAAACUGGAGUGUUUGGCAGAAGCAGGA